UAGUAAACAAAUAUUUCAAACUUAGAGUUCAAAACAUUUAAAUUUUUUUUUGUCACGGAAAUUUUAAUUAAAAAUCAAAGAAAAUUAUUUCGGUCUAGGUUGUAGGCCCAGUCCGAAAACAUCCCACUACACUAGAGAGUUUCUGAGGACCGUUUUUGCUAAAAGGUCGGCUUCGUGAUUAUAUUUACGGAAGAUAUGAAAAACGCAAUAAAAACAAAUACAUAAGAGAGAGCUUGAAUAUCCACGGUGAUUUCCAACAAAUUCUUCUUUUGUGUCUUGUUGAUAAUAGCUCCAAUGAACAUUAGAUUCGGAGAUGUGAGAUCUCCUGAUCUACCGUCAUAUACAAGAUUUCUCUAAUCACCAGGGCCUCAACAACCAGCGGUGAGUCGACGAAAUCCUAUACCAUAGAGUCUCGAUUGAGGGUGAGUUCCCUUGAUCCAACUCGACUGAAAAGAGAGGCAUUUCUGGGGAACUCGAGAAUUUAUCGCGAAAAGGAAAGGAGGGGUUUGAAUUUUUCUGUCAGACCAAUUUAUUUAUAGUGUUGUUUUUUUGAGAAGACCCAAGCUAGUCCAGCCUUAUUUCUCGCUGCAUCCCAAGCCACAUCGGUUAUAUAUAUUGUGAAAACACUACACAUGUUCUCUGUUGAUCGACAUCCUGAUAGAUCCAGUUGUAAAUGAGUGAUCCACACAGUUGUCUUGCUUUAUUGUGCUUGGUUCCAUUCCUUCGCCCAAGCUAAGCCCUUUGUGGCUACUUCUUCCGUUUGUGAUGUCUUUGCUUCGAAGAUGAGAGAGUUGUGAUCUUUCUGUAGAGACCAACAUAUCUAAGGGAGGAUGGUAUUAGGGACACCAUUUGGUGGAAGGCAGAUUGUUGUCUGAAGCGAACCACUGUUGCAUCAAAAGUGUCAUCAGUAGCUAUGUGAACUACAUAUUUGAGGGGGAUGUUGAGCCACACCUGCUUCGUGAAAAGGCAAAAGAAAAAGAUAUGCAUUGGAGAUUCUAUUUCUUGGCAUUUAGGACAUUUUACAUCUGAAAUGAUUUUUUUUUUCUGAGGUUUUCUCCUAGAAGCAGAGCACCUCGAAUAGUGGACCACAUGAAUAGUUUUAAUUUUAGUGAGCAUUUUUGUCGAGAGUUUAUAAAAUUAUUAGUUA